GGGGGCGUAAAGGUUUCGACAGGGAUCUUGCAGUAUCGGAAGCGAGCAGCGGUGCGGAACCGCUUUAAAAUCCGCACUUUUAAAUGAACUGACAAAAAUUCAGUUGCUUUAGCGGCUUAAUUGCCGCUCAUCCGACCCGGAAGCACCGCGAGCCGGCAAGGGUGUCAUUUUAGCGGUGAACAUGAACGCGCGCCCUCUCCUGCGUGCGUCACGAAGUAGGAGAUACUGAACGGAAGAGCCUGACAUUUGGCGCUUUUGUAAGGGAACGGAAAGAAAUGUCUGCGCUCGGAGACGCCGGUAUGAAUUGAUUUUUGGACAGGAGUUCGACUCUCCUCGCCUCCACCA
rnacentral:tmRNA from 1 species